rnacentral:lncRNA from 1 species
UUUUUUGAGUCAAUAAUUUUAUUACUAUUAUUUUUCACACCGAGGAGACUUAGUUACAUAAAGUGAUAUUCUAUGAGUUGAUUACCAGCAGGAGAAGCACAAAGGUGUGGAAAGCAUAACAGGAACACAGUGAGGAAACGCCCUUUGUCAAGUGGAGUCCAUGUGACAGAACACAUUACUGCAAACAGCCUAUGUACAAAUAAAUAUAGCUUUCCGUCUAUGUACAGACAUAUUCACAGAGAAUAAACUGACGCGAAAUCUCCAUACAUCUGUCAUCCAGUGAAAAUUGCACGUAAUAAACAAAACACACAGAAAAUGACAAAAAUAAUUCAGAAGUGCAUCAGCUGGAGUCUUGCUGGGGGUAAAGAGAAGGGUUAAAAUGCUUCUUUAAAAUGGAGGCAAACAAAGGAAGAGCGAGAUGACAUCUAUCCCUAAAAAGAUCCUUUACAAAAAUGGCAUUCUGAUAUUGUUAAUAUAAUCUCUCCAAAAAAGAGUUUAUGUGUUCUAGGGCAAAAGUCUUUGUUGGGGUCAGUGGUGACCACAUUUUCUCUGUUUUACCAAUAUGCAAAGAACAAAAGUAUAAUUUAUCUUUCCUCUAGUGCUAGUGGCAACUUAAUUAAUCCAGGAAGGUAGCUUUGCUACUCCAAUUUUUGAUGGCUCCAUGAGACUGCAGAUUGUUUGGAGAUAAAAGCUCUUGCUUCUGGAACUUUCUCAGACUCGAGCAGAAGACACACUUGAGAUAGGUGCAGGGCACAAAUAUGGACUUUAUGUGCAGAGUUCAGCAGGGCUGUAUGUCAACAGAGGCUCCCUCUUCUGGAUAGAGUCUCUGCCCUUUGGAGAAACUCUUCGGACCACAAAACAGUCCCCAACAAGAACGUCACUGGCUCUGGGCCUAGACACUCUGACUUAGGGUAAAUGGCCAUUUAAGCAUCAAAUUGGUGGGGUUGUUCAAUUUAAUAACCACGUUUACUCCAUGUUGAGAAUUUAGAGGUCCAGUUGUGGUGAAUAUUUCUAGGCUCUUAAGUGCUUUUUGGUUAUUCUUUUAGCUUUCCCUCAAAUUACAUAGAAAAUUAUGAUAAAUGGAAAUAUUAAAGUUUCUAGUUGUGGGGACGUCUGUGUAUAGGUAAGUAGUCUACCACACUGGUCAGAACAUGUGUAUUUUAGCAGAAAGGAAAUGCGUUAUGAUGUCUGUUAUUUGCCGUGUCCUCCCAAGGAAGGUUUAUAUUUCAGCACAGGAAAUUAUUGACAAAUUGUAUAUCUAUGUUUGCCAUUUUUAUAAGGGAACUUCUUAGGCCCAUCCCACAUUUAUAUAUAUAAAAACUCAAACAAACCUUAUGUUUCCCAGGUAUGUAUUUACCUAAUUAUCCAUUUCACUCUCUGUAUAGGUGAACCUUGCUUUACAUAACAAAUGGAUUCCUGAAAAACAGUAGAUCUAUAAUUUAGACUUUCAAUAUAGUAUCAGAACUUGCUGUUUCAAGAAACUAUGUCACAAGCUACUUUGAAGAUGAAGAAUGCUUUUGUGAAAUGAAUAAUUUCUUUCAUUUGCAGAGUUUUAUUAAAGUACACAUUUAAAAUUUAUCAGGUUAGGAUUGUCUAGAACAAUAAUUGUAUGCAAUAAAAAACAGAACAGAUAAACUCCAAUUUACAAUAAACAAUACAAAACAGGAAUGACUCAUGACUGCUUAUUGAUUGACUAUAUUCAGAAGCCCUGAAUAUAUGUAUUAUUGGUAUUUUAUGGCUUUAAUUAAGACAAUUGUCUCUUAUGAAGUACUAUAAAGUGCAAUAUUAAAAAAUUAAAAACCCAAAAGGCAUCCAUUGUCCUUCAGUUUUAUCCUGAUGAGAAGAAUUGGAGAAUCAUUUAAUUAAAUGGCAAGGAAUUAUCUAUCCAUACUGCAUGCAUGUAAUUUGAUCCUUAAAAUUAUUUAAUUCAGGGAUUCAGACUUAACUCAUUCCUUUGUGUGUGUGUGUGUGUGUGUGACAUGAUUUUAAAAAUUAGCAUUCUCUUUCAGGUAAUUCACUGUUUAAGAGAACUGUCAGUCCCAAGGCCUUUGUUACUUACGGAUCCAUUAUAAAGGAACAUGCAGCCCAAUACGUGAGAAUGCAGAACCAAAUUCCUGUGCUUUUGCUGAACUGUAGCCCACUUUCCUGGGCCAGGACCCAAUCUACAGCCACACAAUUCCUAUCCAACCUAGUACCCAAGGAAGGAAAUACACUACAAUACUGGGUGAUAAGAGGAGGACCAACAUUUCCCCUAUUUCCUAUGUAAGUGAAAGCAUGAAUUCCUUUUGGUAUAUCAAAGCAAGUAGAGUUUCUGAAUGAUCUCCAGUGGUGUCUCCCCCACUCUGAGUUCUUUGUGAGCGUGGAAUUAUGACAGUAAAAAUGAAGCCCAUGAACUUGACUUCACCAGGCCUCAUGAUUAUGCCACACCCUGUGUUCAAACUUUUCACCCCUGGAUAAACGCCUGUUAGUGCUGUUGCACCAAGGCCUACUGGUGCUCUAAACUCUAAAGGUAUUUCUGUGACUCUACUCUUUUAUGAAUGUGAACUCUGUUCACAUUGCAGUAGCAAUCAGGAGGGAUUUUUUCCCCCUGAGAAACUGCCAAAGACAUGAAACAGAAAUUUUUGGGAGGAGGGGCCCAGUGUUUUUGAAUAUUCACAUUAAUGAAGUGGUGGACAAAUGCUCAGUAGACUGGCCAAGAGCAAGCAGAAUCUGGAAAGGGAGAAAGCUCUGAGUCCAACCUGGACUUGAAAACUGGAAGCGGCCCUAGAAAUAAACAGAUGGAGACUCAAAGAGGCCAAGUGGAGAGUGGCUCAUAGUAGGCAAAAUGGUGAAUCAAAUGCACUGGGGCAGGCCGAGAGGUGCACCCGCUUUAGCUAAAUGUCUCGGAGAAGAGAUCAGAAGUGAUAGGGUACAGAAGAUGAAUGUGAAUUAGCAAUGUAGUGUGACUUUGUAAAAGUAAGAGCAACAGAGAAGUUCAGCAAAAGGGAGCAAAGCAAUAGGUUUGAGACUGUAAUUCAGCCCUGUUCAGACUGACCUGUGUCAUGAUGAGUCAUAGGGUUCUAUAAUUUAGGAGUAACAUAAAGCAGGUAAAAACGCUGAGUAGAGAAGAACUGGAAGAAUUAAGAGGGUUAGGAAAAAAGGACUCUGAAAUAAAGCUCUAAAGAUACUUUUGAUGAAAACAGAUAAAGGGUCACAUAGUGGGGACUCCCAAUGAUGUGAGAGGCACAUAGUGAAGAGUGCCCAGACCCAGUUCUUUUCCAUCCCCCAAAAAGACACAGGUGAAGUCACCAACUUGUUGGGCUAGGGUAAACCUGCUGGUUGUUAAUACUUGAUGAAACCUGGUUCCAUCAGGAACCCCUAUGCCAGGACCCCUCACCUACAAAAGAACUGUCCUUUUGAUUAGGGUGAUAGGUUGGACGACCUGUCUCAACAGAAUUAAACCUUUGGCAAACUCAACACAAAUUCUAUGGCACCCUUUCAGACUUGGGUAUUCAUCUGUUUUUGUUUUUUUGUUUUUUUUUUUUGUUUUUAAUUCUUUCAGGUUUUCCAGUCUAGCAAUCAAUCAUCUAGUGAAAGUGCUCUGGCAUAAUUUGGGGAUCCAUGCAGUGCCCCUUCUACAACUAAUUUGAACAGAGUUUUCUCUCCAGCAGUAAUUACAAGGUCAUUUUUGUCUCUAAAAGAACUGGCCGACUUGUGGAUCCACUUAUCAUUUUUAGCUCUCUCUUGCUGUUUUUAAAGGAAACUUUCGCCAGACAGAUGAAAGACCACUGUGGAAUGCAAGUGGUUCUGAGCAAGGCUGGUCCCCCAGGGGUGCGGAAAGCCUGGAAAGUGGCAGCGCAGACAGUGUUUGGAGGCGGGUGUCUGGGUGGAAAGAUGUGCUACUUUCCAUCCUGAACAUGAGCGCUCCUCUGCUUUCUACAGAUGCCUACGUUCUCCUGGCGGUCAGAGGCCGGUCAUAGGCCGUAACCUGAGCAGUUUCAAAGCUCCCAGUGAAGUGAAACAACAACAACAACAACAACAACAACAACAACAACAACAACAACGUUGUGAUGUUGUAACCAUAAGAAAUGGAGUGGUGCGCGUGUCCUUUAUUGCUUUUCUCGUUUGCUACAUAGUUCAAAGAAUAUGAAGCUGUGAGAUGAACAAAGAUAUGCCAAGAGACAGGGAGGAGCUAAGCUGAAGUAGUGGGCUGGGGGCACAUUACCUUUCCUUCCCAAAGCCUUCUAGAGAGGGGAAGAUAUUUUUAUCUGGGACCCUAUGCAGGUUCUUAUAAUUGGUUGGAAAAGCCUGAAAUUUGUCAUUGUUUUAAACUACAUGGGGAUAUGUAUCAAUGUGACACUUGGUUUCUUGGGACUCAAAGUGAAUAAAUUUUUUUUCUUCCUUUUCCUUAUGCUUCAUUUUCCCCCCCACUAAUUCUCUUUUAAUGGCCAAGCCCUUACUACUUAAAGACAAUAUUGCGGAGGAUGUGGCUUUUAAAAAUACUAAGCCACGUGGUUAUGUGAGAUCUGGCUUAGCAAGAAUGAGCAUUAAGCUUCUAUGUCAAGCCUUCAGGAGUUAGAUGAUUUCCCCAGAAAUCACCCUGAGGACGGUUUCCCUUUAUUUCUUCUGGAAUUGAGCUGCCACUUCUAAUAUGGCCACUUAAUUACUGUAGUACCAAUCUGUCCUGUGCGAGGAAGCAUGGCAUCCUCAUCAUCUGUGUGUGUGUGUUGGCAG